rnacentral:rRNA from 1 species
UACGGAGGGUGCGAGCGUUGUCCGGAAUUACUGGGCGUAAAGGGCGCGUAGGCGGUUCGCUAAGUUGCUGGUGAAAUCCCCGGGCUCAACCCGGGAACUGCGUCCGAUACUGGAAGGCUUGAAUCCGGGAGAGGGAUGCGGAAUUCCAGGUGUAGCGGUGAAAUGCGUAGAUAUCUGGAGGAACACCGGUGGCGAAGGCGGCAUCCUGGACCGGCAUUGACGCUGAGGCGCGAAAGCCAGGGGAGCAAACGGG